CUGAUGAGCUUAAACUUUCCAACUGCAGGAACAGGAUGCCUUUCCCUAUUCAACUGCUGCUGGAGGACUGAAUGAUUGGAGGAUAAUCAGGCAGAUAAUUCCAUAAUGUAGUCUUAGCACUAGCCAACGCUCUUCAAUCAAGAUCACCUCAGGACUACAAAAUGGCUGCUGCCACACCAGUCAUUACAACCAUGUUUCAGGCAGAAAAAGAUGGAAGACCAACAAAGAACCUGCCCAUAUAACCCCAUUUUUAGGAAGAAUUUCCAGAAAUCUUAUCUAGUUUCUUCCUUUAUACCAUUGACCAGAAGGUAGUCAUAUGACCACUCUUAUCUGGAAGGGAGGCUGGGAAAUCUAACUUUUCAGCCUGGCACAUUGCUACCUUCAACAAAAUCAGGGCCCUGUGUAAGUAAGAAGAGAGGAAUAAACUUUGGGUAGGCAAACCAGCAA